CAUAUCAAUAAGCGGAGGAAAAGAAACUAACAAGGAUUCCCCUAGUAACUGCGAGUGAAGCGGGAAAAGCUCAAAUUUAAAAUCUGGUAGCCUUCGGUUGCCCGAGUUGUAGUCUGGAGAAGCGUCUUCCGCGCUGGACCGUGUACAAGUCUCUUGGAACAGAGCGUCAUAGAGGGUGAGAAUCCCGUCUUUGACACGGACUACCAGUGCUUUGUGAUGCGCUCUCAAAGAGUCGAGUUGUUUGGGAAUGCAGCUCAAAAUGGGUGGUAAAUUCCAUCUAAAGCUAAAUAUUGGCGAGAGACCGAUAGCGAACAAGUACCGUGAGGGAAAGAUGAAAAGCACUUUGGAAAGAGAGUUAAACAGUACGUGAAAUUGCUGAAAGGGAAACGCUUGAAGUCAGUCGCGUCGUCCAGAACUCAACCUGGCUUUUGCUUGGUGCACUUUCUGGUUGACGGGCCAACAUCAGUUUUGACUGUCGAAAAAAGUCCUUAGGAAUGUGGCACCCUCGGGUGUGUUAUAGCCUUUGGUCGUACGCGAUGGUUGGGACUGAGGACCGCAGCACGCCUUUUGGCCGGGGUUCGCCCACGUACGUGCUUAGGAUGUUGGCGUAAUGGCUUUAAGCGACCCGUCUUGAAACACGGACCAAGGAGUCUAACAUGCCUGCGAGUGUUUGGGUGGUAAACCCGAGCGCGCAAUGAAAGUGAAAGUUGGGAUCCCUGUCGUGGGGAGCACCGACGCCCAUACCAGACCUUCUGUGACGGAUAUGCGGUUGAGCAUGUAUGUUGGGACCCGAAAGAUGGUGAACUAUGCCUGAAUAGGGUGAAGCCAGAGGAAACUCUGGUGGAGGCUCGUAGCGAUUCUGACGUGCAAAUCGAUCGUCAAAUUUGGGUAUAGGGGCGAAAGACUAAUCGAACCAUCUAGUAGCUGGUUCC
rnacentral:rRNA from 1 species